UUUUCGUUUGAAAUUCCAAUGCCCCUUUGAUGAUUAUUGGGGACAAAGUAAUGGGGCAUAAAGUAUUCUUUUUUCAAUAGACAAGCAUUUAAGAAGUACCAUUGGUGCCUAAAAAAAAGAAGAAGUACAAUUGGUGAAAAUGUUAACUUCAAUUUUAUUGGUUCAAAGGAAGUUCUUAUUUUGAUAUUAUCAUGAGGAGGGCAAAGUUGCUACCAAAUCAAACCACGGGAAGUUGCUUUCAAAAGAUCUUCAAACAACAACAAUGUUUGUGCCAUAGAGGUUCUUAUUUACCCCAAGUUUCUAAUUUUGUUUUGUUUCAAAAUUUCUUUGAUACCAAGAUCUAACUGUUAAUUUCAUAUGCUCUACAAUCAAUUAACUUAGGGUUAUUUGGUAACAAUUAUAUAUUCUCUUAAUUACAAGCUUUUCAUUAUUUAUUAGUCGGUUCAAUUGCUAAUUUUAUAAUAUAUUUCAAAUUUAAUAUCCGAAGUUAUCCGAUAUUAGUUAACUUAUAUGACAUAUGUUACUUUUUACCAAACUUUAGUAUUAGUAUAUCUUAAUGCUUGUUUAAGUUUCAAUCUCGUGGUGUCAAGUGUCGACACCUAAUAUGCCGGUCUUUUUUUUCAUGGAGAUUCACGAAAAUGUUGAGAGCAACUAUAGACUAUAUUACUCAAGCAUUACAACAAAUCAAGAUAUUAUAUCUUCACUCAAAACAUUAUAAUAUUAUGUAUAAGAAUCACCUCUUUUAUAUAUAUAUAUUAAGUGGCAGAUUCACCGCCCAGCCAACUCAGACACUUGUCCAGACUCUGGUAAAAAAUAUUGAUAUUUUAGGGGUUAAUUUAUGACAAAACUAAAAAAUUUAUGGAGGGUUAGUUUAGAGUAAAACUGAGUUUUUUUAAAAAAAUUAAAAUUUUUCUGUAAAAUUAAGAUUUUAUCCUGACUUUUGUUAAUAUUUUAGCUCCAACACUUUGGCUCUGUUUGGUAAAAAUAAGCUAUAAGCUAGCUGAUAGCUGAAAAGCUAGCUUAUAGCUGAUAGCUGAAAAGCUAGCUUAUUGAAAUUAAAGUGUUUGGUAAAAUUAGCUUUUANNNNNNNNNNNNNNNNNNNNNNNNNNNNNNNNNNNNNUACUAACCAUUUAAAGUGGGAGAAUCACCCUUGAAAUGAAGAUAACUUCAAGUGAGUGAUUAACCAUUUAUGAAUCUGCAUAAUUUGAUGAGAAUAUGAUGUCAAUUUUCAACGAAUCUGGUAGACCUUACACAAGAAUUUGAGUCACAUCAUCAGCACUAUAUUAUUAACAGAUAGAUAGAUAGAUUUAGGAACAUUGUUUUUGAAACAAGACUCAUAAAAAAAGUUAAAAUAAUAAUAUUAUAAUAAUUAAAUAAUUUUGAAAUGGGUACGUGUCCAAUAUAUUAACCGAUGAAGGUGGAAAUGAAACUAUUGAGUGAAUCUACCUCCAAAAUAUUGUAGCACUAGGUGGGGUUUCUCUUUUCACAUUUAUUUAUUUACACUAUGAUAAACCACUAAAACAUAUUUUAAUAUAAAAAAAUACUAACUCUUGCCUUUAAAAUACUAGUUAAUUAAGAAAAUAAAGAUAGUAAUUUUUUAAAAAAUUAUAGCUAAACUCUUAAAAGUAUAAAAAAUGUUGUUUUCAAUAUAAAAUGUAUUACUUUUUUUUAGUUUCUUAAUUAAUUAGUGAUUUAAGAUACACUAGUUAAUAUGAUCCUUAUUAAUUAUAUUGUUUUUUAAAUCGCAGUAUUUUGGAUAAACAGUAUCUUAGAAAUGUCUUUCAAAAUCAUCGGUUCACAAAUUUAUUCAUAAAAGUGACAAUACUAAUUGUUGCAAAUUUGCCUUGAAAACGUGAAAAAACAACACUAGUCUGCUGUUUUCCGCCCCGGGCGGAAAAACCUGUGUUUCGGGCGGAAAUUUGAAGCAGGAAAAAAGGGGGCUCACUGUUUUGCCGCCCCAGGCGGAAAUCUUGGUGCCUCAGGCGGAAAUCGCUGCAGAGUAUUUAAAGGGUCACGUUUUCUGUUUUUUAAGUACAAGUUUUGAGGGUUUCUUUCACCAAAACGGCGGCUAGGGUUAAGAGGGUUACUCUUGGUUCAUCUCUAGGUUUUGGGUGUUGAUUCUUUCAUCUUGUAAUCACUUANNNNNNNNNNNNNNNNNNNNNNNNNNNNNNNNNNNNNNNNNNNNNNNUCGUUGUAAUCAAGAUUUUCAUUGAUAGUGGAACGGAGAGUGGCUCUCUCCCCCAGAGUAGGUCGGUUUUGACUGAACUGGGUAAACAAUUGCUUCGUGUUCUUUACAAUUUUAUUACUUAUCUUUUGUUCGUGAUUAUUAUUGCUAUUUCCACGUUUUGAUUGCUUACUCGAUUUGCUCCACACAUCAAAAGUAUUAUUGGUGUGAUUAUCAAUCCGAAUUCACAACACUAAUAUUGUCACAAUUUUGUUUACAAAAAUAGAAAGACAUAAGCUUUGCAGUAGACAUUUGGAAAAAUAGUGAAUCCCGUUUUGAUGUGAAAUUAAGAAAUAAUAUUUCAACAAAAAAUGAUAUAUUUUGCACCUAUUUCGAUUUAUUCGGCUCUAGGAUUAGAGUUCGGUCGUAAGUAAAGUCUGAACUAAAAUUGUUCAUACUAGGAUUCGACUUCAGAUUCUUUCAACAAUUUGUCCUAAAAAAAAUUCAUCAAACACUUAAAGUCUAAUGUAUUGGUUUAUUAAGAAGAUACUCUUUCUAUUAAUAUAACCAAAAAUAAAUUGAUCCUAAUACUAAAAUUUUUAAAUUCCUUUAAACUUAGUUAGAAAGCCUCCUAUCAAGAUCACAAGUGAUGCAAAAACGCCAAGCUUGGCCGUUUAUUGCCUAUGAUAUGACUAAAAAGAAAAUUGCUAAUGUCGGACGUCAUGAUUGGGGUUCGAAUCUCGGUGACUCCACUUUAUGUGUGUGAAUUUUCAAUGACUUUUCCAUUUCGUUUAUCAACCAAAAAAAGAAAAUUGUUACUCGUAUUAAGAAGAUGCUUUUUAUUUUUCAUUUUUGUGUUAACCGUCUGGUUACUAGAGGAAGCAGUUCCGAUAAUUCAGAAUUUGGUCGUGAGUUAAGUAAAGUCUUGACUAGAAUUAUUCAUAUUAGGAUUUGAAUUCGGAUUCUUCCGAACAAUUCGUCCUAACAAAAAUUUAUUAAUCAUUUGAGUCUAAUGCUUGGUUUAUUAAAAAGAUACUCUUCUUUUUUGUGUUAACCUAAUAAAAGAAUACUAGUAAUUCAGAGUUCGAUUGUAAAAUAAAUAAAUUACGAAAAAUAUUGUUUCAACCAAAAGUUUGGUAUUAAGAAGAUAUUUGAUUAGCACUAAAAAGCUACUAGUACAAUCUUAUUUUAUUGAGAGUAUAUUCUAACAUUUAAAACACAAAAGUAGUAGUAUAUCAAGUUGUGGUGUCUAAAUUUUGAUAGAUUAAAUAGAGGGAGAUACUCUUAAUAAACAAUUAUAGCUUUAUAACAAACAUAUAAAUGGUGGCAUGAUACUUUAUCCUAGGAGGAAAUUGCAUGCAUACUAACUUUUUGUUUCAUACCCCCCUUAAAUUUCUAUUAUUUUGAAGGAUUCCCAUAAUCUAUUUGUUUAAGCUGGCUCAUAUAGCAUAAAGGUUUAGAAUUUCAGUUGAAGGAGCACUAUUUGAAGUAAACUUUGAUUUGGAGACAACACAUGUUUUGUAAACUUUGGAUUAGACAAGGUGAAAGGACAACUGAAAAAAUAGAUUAACAAUUAAUCUCUAGUCAUUAAUUACUUUGUACAGCUUUUUGUGAUUAGUUAGUGGUGCAUCCACUCUGACUUGCAAUUGAGAAAGGGAAAGAUGGCAGCAGGGGAGGAAUCCACUAGCUGGUUAAGAAAAUCUUUUGUUUAUUGCAAAAUAAUUGGUCAUCCACGAUUAAUAAAAUAAUCAUUCCAUUGAAUUAUAGAACCACUAGUUAGAUAGUGCUUUUUAGUAUGAAUAAAAUAAGAAAAAUGUGUUCACCAAAAAACAAUAAUUUUAAAAUGUG
rnacentral:lncRNA from 1 species